UCACUUAAAACCUUUUUGCAUCUCAGUUUCCCCUCGCAGCGUCGCGCUAGGCUUACAGGUGAUCAUCACAAGAAGAAAACAAGUAGACCCAAUAGUAGCCACGAAAGACCAGCACUUCCUCCCGGAACCCAAAGCCGGCCUGGAAUCGUGCAGGUACAAUUCUCUUCUCACCUCACAAUUAACCCAGCAAUAAAUCAUUUCACAGCUGCACCAUUACAUGCGGUCCAUUAUCCUCACCAGGCCCUCACUCCGAGAUAGGGGUCGAUGAAAGAAGGCCUGGGGCUACAGCUGGAGUGUUUGAAGUCUGAGAGGAGUGGACGUCCCAGCUGUUGCCCAGAAACUGCGACUUGUCGGCAAAUCAGAACCUGACGGAGAGUGCWGAUGGUCGUCAGGGAUACAGAAGGACAGGUCCUACAGUCGUACCCUCASACAGAG